rnacentral:pre_miRNA from 1 species
CACCUACUUCUUUGGUUCCAAAUUAUUUGUGCAGGUAUGGAUGUAUCUAGAUGUAUUUUAGUUCUAGAUACAUCAUUUUCCCCGACAAGUAAUUUGGAACGGAGGAAGUAGCUA